rfam:Oryza punctata chromosome 3, whole genome shotgun sequence.
GCAUCCAUGGCUGAAUGGUUAAAGCGCCCAACUCAUAAUUGGUAAAUUUGCGGGUUCAAUUCCUACUAGGUGCA